CAGAGGGUGCGAACGUUGCUCGGAAUUACUGGGCGUAAAGCGCGUGUAGGCGGGUCGGCAAGUCAGGCGUGAAAUCCCCAGGCUCAACCUGGGAACUGCGCUUGAAACUGCCGGUCUUGAGUAUCGGAGAGGGUGGCGGAAUUCCUGGUGUAGAGGUGAAAUUCGUAGAUAUCAGGAGGAACACCGGUGGCGAAGGCGGCCACCUGGACGAUUACUGACGCCGAGACGCGAAAGCGUGGGGAGCAAACAGGAUUAGAUACCCUGGUAGUCCACGCCGUAAACGAUGGGUGCUAGGUGUCUCGGGUAUUGACCCCUGAGGUGCCGUAGCUAACGCGUUAAGCACCCCGCCUGGGAAGUACGGCCGCAAGGCUA
rnacentral:rRNA from 1 species